rnacentral:rRNA from 1 species
UACGAAGGGUGCAAACGUUGCUCGGAAUUAUUGGGCGUAAAGCGCACGUAGGCGGCUUGGCAAGUCGGAUGUGAAAUCCCUCGGCUCAACCAAGGAAGUGCAUCCGAAACUGCUGAGCUUGAGUACUUAAGAGGAUCGCGGAAUUCCCGGUGUAGAGGUGAAAUUCGUAGAUAUUCGCAAGAACACCAGUGGCGAAGGCGGCUCACUGGCCCGAUACUGACGCUGAGGCGCGAAGGCGUGGGGAGCGAACGGG